AACUAUCAGGGUACUUUGGAACUAUCUUCUUUCUUAUUGAUGGUUGUUUUGCUUAUUGAUGGUCGUUUUGUUAUUCUAUCUCUUUGCUUCACAUUUCGGAUCUUCGAGGUACCGUCUCCUGCGCUGAAUUCCGGCUUCCGACCUGACGCCUGGGCGACGAGACCGAGGGAAAGCAGAUUCUCCUGAGCGCUGGCUGAGUGAACACUACCUAGACUCACCUCUGCCUCCGGAAGUAUUCUUUUGUGAAGUCUUAAUCACCACUCGCUUUGGGGGGCUUGAACCAGUCUCCUGGCAGCCUUGUCUAGCCAGCUUUUGUCCAAGAGUAGCUCUUGGUUGAACCCCAUAUUACUCGGGUUUGCUGGUGGAUCUGUUUCCACCCCUGUUUCAAUCCUGGUCACUGCUGGAUACCGCUGUACCUACUCUCCACUCUUACACCCUGCUCCAUUCCUGGUCACCGCUGGAUACCGCUCCAACAAGAACAAGUGGAAGGCGGACGUUGGUCAUCCCUGCAGUGUUGCCUGGUGCUGUCUUUUGCCAUGAGUGUCCACUGUCAGGUCUUCUCGCACUCUAAGACUAGAGGUAAGAUUUACCACUUCUAUUGGCCUGGGGUAGGAUUUGACAUUACAGGUUUUUUAAGUCUUGUGAUAAAUGUCAACGUGAUAAAUGUCUACGUAUGUUGGUAAAGUGUUCCCUGUACACCUAUCAUCGCUGAACCGUUCUCAUGAGUGGCUGUUGACAUCGUGGGUCCCUUAUCUCCAUCUGAAGGCCAUCAUUACCUCUUAACUUUAAUUGAUUUUGCAGCUAGCUUCCCAGAAGCUGUACCUUCCUGAGAAAUUAUCUAUUACUAUUGCAGAAGCCUUGUCCAUCUUCUCCAGGGUUGGCAUCCCUGAAGAAAUACUCUCGUUCGUGGGACGCAGUAUGUCACAACUGACAGGUGAGCUCCAUAAGCUUCUGGGAGUAAAGCCGCUCGUCACCACACCGUACCACCUAAGUGGUGCUGGAAGAGUGGAAAGGUUCCAUUCCACUCUGAAGGCGUGCUUCUGGAAACUGCUCUGAAAAACCGCGUGAGUGGCACCGUUAUCUUCCUGCCACCUUGUUCUCUUCGAGGGAGAUGCCAAGUGACUGGGACAGGAUUCUCCUCUUCAGAGCUGCUUUACGGUAACGCGGAGGACCUCUUGCAGUUUUACGAAAUCCCUGGAGAUGCCAAGUGACCGGGACCGUAUUCUCCUCUUUAGAGCUCCUUUACGGAGUGCUUUACGGUAAGGCGGAGGACCUCUUGCAGUUCUACAAAAUCCCCGAGAUGAUAGUUUGUUUCCAAUAUGUAAUAGAGCUGAAAGACCAAUUAGCUGAAUGCUCCCGAGAAUGUUAACAUCAGUGCUACUAGGUAUAAAGCAUAUUUUGACGAAAUCACAAGAGUGGAACUUCAGACCUGGAGAUGAAGUCCUGGUGCUCCUGCCUGUCACUACCAACAAGCUCCUGAUGACCUAGGCUGGCCCACAUACCGUACUUAAGGAGAACCAGCUGUAACUAAUUGAUGAAAACGGUAAGCCUAAAUCUUGAGUAAAUCUUCUAAUUGCUCCCCAGUUAUGGUAAGUUUCAAGGGAGUAUUUAUUUCGGUGAGAUUGAUCUAACUAAAGCCUAUUAUCAGAUUCCACUCACUGAUAGCACUAAGCCACUUACUGCCUUUCCCACUCACAAAAGACUAAUGAAGUUUUGCUGGCACCCAUUUGGUUUAGUUGCAGCCUGUGCCACUUACAUCAGAUUAAUGAAGUUCGUCUUCGCACGACUAACAGGAGUAUCUUUCUACUUGGAUAAUAUUUUCAUCUAUGGAACAACCUGGACAGAACACAUCACUGCCCUCAAGUCCGUACUUUGGCAUCUUCAAGAACACGGCCUCACUGCUCGAGUAUCGAAGUGUCGAUUCUGGUUUGGAUCCAUUCAUCUGGGCUUCAUUGUGGAUGGUAAGACGCUUCGUCCUCAAAAUGAUAGUCUCUGCCAUUUCUUCUUGUAGUCCUCCAAGUACCAAAAAGCUACUUCGAUCUUCCUUGGGUAUGGUAUCUUUUUAUUGAGACUUUAUCCCCCAGACUUCCUCCUACAUAAGUUGUCUGUCUGACCUUGCCCGCAAAGGCAUCACCGAACCACUAGUCUGGAUCUUAAGGCUACCGGAUUCCACUCAUUCUUUCAUGCUACGAACGGAGGCUUCAAACCACGGGCUAGGAGCAGUCCUGCUUCAAUAUGUGGACGGCUGGCCUCUCCUUGGGAUAAUGUACCCGUGUGCUGCCAGGGACGUUUGUGUGAAGUGGAUGGGCGUGGUACCAGCGCUAGAGCAGCUACCUCUCUAAGUGGCGACCAACGUCCAUAUAAUUCGAGUGUGUUGUAUUAGUGAUUUUCUUUCAUUAAAGUGGUGCUUUGUUA